rnacentral:rRNA from 1 species
GGGUUGUGAGGUUAAGCGACUAAGCGUACACGGUGGAUGCCCUGGCAGUCAGAGGCGAUGAAGGACGUGCUAAUCUGCGAUAAGCGUCGGUAAGGUGAUAUGAACCGUUAUAACCGGCGAUUUCCGAAUGGGGAAACCCAGUGUGAUUCGUCACACUAUCAUUAACUGAAUCCAUAGGUUAAUGAGGCGAACCGGGGGAACUGAAACAUCUAAGUACCCCGAGGAAAAGAAAUCAACCGAGAUUCCCCCAGUAGCGGCGAGCGAACGGGGAGGAGCCCAGAGCCUGAAUCAGUGUGUGUGUUAGUGGAAGCGUCUGGAAAGGCGCGCGAUACAGGGUGACAGCCCCGUACACAAAAAUGCACAUGCUGUGAGCUCGAUGAGUAGGGCGGGACACGUGGUAUCCUGUCUGAAUAUGGGGGGACCAUCCUCCAAGGCUAAAUACUCCUGACUGACCGAUAGUGAACCAGUACCGUGAGGGAAAGGCGAAAAGAACCCCGGCGAGGGGAGUGAAAAAGAACCUGAAACCGUGUACGUACAAGCAGUGGGAGCACAGAGCAAUCUGUGUGACUGCGUACCUUUUGUAUAAUGGGUCAGCGACUUAUAUUCUGUAGCAAGGUUAACCGAAUAGGGGAGCCGAAGGGAAACCGAGUCUUAACUGGGCGUUAAGUUGCAGGGUAUAGACCCGAAACCCGGUGAUCUAGCCAUGGGCAGGUUGAAGGUUGGGUAACACUAACUGGAGGACCGAACCGACUAAUGUUGAAAAAUUAGCGGAUGACUUGUGGCUGGGGGUGAAAGGCCAAUCAAACCGGGAGAUAGCUGGUUCUCCCCGAAAGCUAUUUAGGUAGCGCCUCGUGAAUUCAUCUCCGGGGUAGAGCACUGUUUCGGCAAGGGGGUCAUCCCGACUUACCAACCCGAUGCAAACUGCGAAUACCGGAGAAUGUUAUCACGGGAGACACACGGCGGGUGCUAACGUCCGUCGUGAAGAGGGAAACAACCCAGACCGCCAGCUAAGGUCCCAAAGUCAUGGUUAAGUGGGAAACGAUGUGGGAAGGCCCAGACAGCCAGGAUGUUGGCUUAGAAGCAGCCAUCAUUUAAAGAAAGCGUAAUAGCUCACUGGUCGAGUCGGCCUGCGCGGAAGAUGUAACGGGGCUAAACCAUGCACCGAAGCUGCGGCAGCGACGCUUAUGCGUUGUUGGGUAGGGAGCGUUCUGUAAGCCUGUGAAGGUGUGCUGUGAGGCAUGCUGGAGGUAUCAGAAGUGCGAAUGCUGACAUAAGUAACGAUAAAGCGGGUGAAAAGCCCGCUCGCCGGAAGACCAAGGGUUCCUGUCCAACGUUAAUCGGGGCAGGGUGAGUCGACCCCUAAGGCGAGGCCGAAAGGCGUAGUCGAUGGGAAACAGGUUAAUAUUCCUGUACUUGGUGUUACUGCGAAGGGGGGACGGAGAAGGCUAUGUUGGCCGGGCGACGGUUGUCCCGGUUUAAGCGUGUAGGCUGGUUUUCCAGGCAAAUCCGGAAAAUCAAGGCUGAGGCGUGAUGACGAGGCACUACGGUGCUGAAGCAACAAAUGCCCUGCUUCCAGGAAAAGCCUCUAAGCAUCAGGUAACAUCAAAUCGUACCCCAAACCGACACAGGUGGUCAGGUAGAGAAUACCAAGGCGCUUGAGAGAACUCGGGUGAAGGAACUAGGCAAAAUGGUGCCGUAACUUCGGGAGAAGGCACGCUGAUAUGUAGGUGAAGCGACUUGCUCGUGGAGCUGAAAUCAGUCGAAGAUACCAGCUGGCUGCAACUGUUUAUUAAAAACACAGCACUGUGCAAACACGAAAGUGGACGUAUACGGUGUGACGCCUGCCCGGUGCCGGAAGGUUAAUUGAUGGGGUCAGCGCAAGCGAAGCUCUUGAUCGAAGCCCCGGUAAACGGCGGCCGUAACUAUAACGGUCCUAAGGUAGCGAAAUUCCUUGUCGGGUAAGUUCCGACCUGCACGAAUGGCGUAAUGAUGGCCAGGCUGUCUCCACCCGAGACUCAGUGAAAUUGAACUCGCUGUGAAGAUGCAGUGUACCCGCGGCAAGACGGAAAGACCCCGUGAACCUUUACUAUAGCUUGACACUGAACAUUGAGCCUUGAUGUGUAGGAUAGGUGGGAGGCUUUGAAGUGUGGACGCCAGUCUGCAUGGAGCCGACCUUGAAAUACCACCCUUUAAUGUUUGAUGUUCUAACGUUGACCCGUAAUCCGGGUUGCGGACAGUGUCUGGUGGGUAGUUUGACUGGGGCGGUCUCCUCCUAAAGAGUAACGGAGGAGCACGAAGGUUGGCUAAUCCUGGUCGGACAUCAGGAGGUUAGUGCAAUGGCAUAAGCCAGCUUGACUGCGAGCGUGACGGCGCGAGCAGGUGCGAAAGCAGGUCAUAGUGAUCCGGUGGUUCUGAAUGGAAGGGCCAUCGCUCAACGGAUAAAAGGUACUCCGGGGAUAACAGGCUGAUACCGCCCAAGAGUUCAUAUCGACGGCGGUGUUUGGCACCUCGAUGUCGGCUCAUCACAUCCUGGGGCUGAAGUAGGUCCCAAGGGUAUGGCUGUUCGCCAUUUAAAGUGGUACGCGAGCUGGGUUUAGAACGUCGUGAGACAGUUCGGUCCCUAUCUGCCGUGGGCGCUGGAGAACUGAGGGGGGCUGCUCCUAGUACGAGAGGACCGGAGUGGACGCAUCACUGGUGUUCGGGUUGUCAUGCCAAUGGCACUGCCCGGUAGCUAAAUGCGGAAGAGAUAAGUGCUGAAAGCAUCUAAGCACGAAACUUGCCCCGAGAUGAGUUCUCCCUGACUCCUUGAGAGUCCUGAAGGAACGUUGAAGACGACGACGUUGAUAGGCCGGGUGUGUAAGCGCAGCGAUGCGUUGAGCUAACCGGUACUAAUGAACCGUGAGGCUUAACCUUACAACGCCGAAG